UUUUUAUUUUCCGGAAAACACCCUUAAUAGGCCAUUCAAAAACCAAAAUUUCUUGAAAUUUUUUUCUGAAAAUGGCCUAUUAGGGGUGUUUUCCGGAAAAUAAAAA
rnacentral:pre_miRNA from 1 species